rnacentral:rRNA from 1 species
GACGAACGCUGGCGGCGUGCUUAACACAUGCAAGUCGAACGGGAAGGCCCUGCUUUUGUGGGGUGCUCGAGUGGCGAACGGGUGAGUAACACUUGAGUAACCUGCCCUUGACUUUGGGAUAACUUCAUGAAACUGGGGCUAAUACCGGAUAGGAGCUCCUGCUGCUGGGUGGGGGUUGGAAAGUUUCGGCGGUUGGGGAUGGACUCGCGGCGUAUCAGCUUGUUGGUGGGGUAGUGGAUUACCAAGGCCUUGCCGCGUAGCAGGGCUGAGCGGGUGACAUGACAAAUUGGGAUUGAGAUGAGGCACAGCCUACUACGGGAGGGAGCAGUGCGGAAUAGUGCACAAUGGGCUGAAGCAUGAUGCAGCACAGCCGUGUGGGGGAUGAGGGCAUGCGGGUUGUAAAGCGAUUUCGCCUGUCACGAAGCGUGAGUGACGGUACUGGGUAAAGAAGCACCGGCUAACUACGUG